AGUUCCCGCGUUCGAUCGUUCACUGUUGGCGACGGCCGACGCCGGUUUGCUUGUCACUCGAAAUCCGUCGUACAAACAGUACAACCCAGGGGUGGUGGUGUUGGUGGAGCUGGUGUUGUAGCGGACGCGACCGCCGGUCGAUACAACGUAUACUCGUUACCACGGUAUACUAUCACAGAAUAGAUAGUUAACUGAUACUGAUACUACCUAAUCGUAGGCUAGCCGCUCUUGUUUCGUUUCUCCUGUAGUUGCUGUUUCUAGUUUUUUUUUUUAUCGUUAACCGUUUCGCGUCCGUGACCUGUGUAUGACGACUGCGUUCCGUCGGUGUUCGUUUUCUCCAUCGCGUUUUCGUUCGUUUACAUUUUAACUUGAAGUAACGGCGAACCUCUCGUCUCGUAAUUCGAACGUCCGUCCUCGGGUGUUGGUUAUUUUUGGCUGCGACGGAAUUCACGUAACACGUCAUCGUUAUUUUGUUUACAACGCUCAAAUUGUCUGCCUACUUUUAUUUUUCCCUGGACAUUUAUCACAGAUUCGCACAAGGCCAUGUUACCAUGUGACUUGCCAUAAGUGUAUGCCGCGGCCGAUGUAUUUCUCCAAGGAAUGUGGCAAGUUAUUGAGAGAGCCAAUUCGGUACUAUGAAGUAUUGGAUAAAGGACAAUAUUUAAGAGAAUUUAGUAUGGCAUUUUCAAUCAAGAAUAGCCCAGGGGUUGCAUUUUUCUCAAAAAUGUAUCCAAUAGACGUUUCGACAACCAAUUAUAAUUCAACCAGCAUGAUCAAUAGAAAUUAUUCUAAUCAUAAGAUUGAAUUCAACGACUUCGGAUUUUGGUACAAAUUCGUCGAUAAAAUGCAUGGUAAAGCAACAGGAUAAAUUACUUUAUAGAUGCCAAGUGUGUUCUAAAUCCUUUGAUAGAUCACAUUGCGAAAGACCAUAAUCAGCCAGCUCAAUCAAGCUCAAAUGGAGAAAGAGAAACUGAAGACUUAUGAAAUCGGAACCAUCCAUGACUCAAGAAAAUAGCAAGUGAAGUCUCCUUUAGAUGAAGAUAAAAAUCAACAGGAUUACAACAAAGGCGCUGUCGAUAUAGAUAUGAUGUUGAACGGCAAUAUCUUCACUCAAGGAUCUGCAGAUGUUUAAAAAAAAGAAGAAACUGAUCAAGAAACUCCAAACAGUGUAAAAAAAAGUUUAUGUAGUUUAUGUUAGCCACAAUCUAUAAUAAUAAUCCUUCAAACAGUGGGGAUUCACAAAACAAAGCUAAAGUUAUAUAAAACUUAAUUAAAAGUUAGUAAUCAAUUUUAUUUUUAUAAGCUCCAGUAAAAUAAUUUAAAAUUUCCCUUUGGGUUUUUUUUUAUAUUUUUUUAUCAAUAACUUUUAAGUGGCAUAAAUUAGGAGACUGUAUUAUUUAUUAUAAUAUUAUAAAUUAAACCACUAUAUUUUUUAUAUUAAUUUUUUAGAUAAGGAAUAUAUUUAAAAAUGAAACUAAAAAGUUUGAUAGAUUUUGGAAUACAAUAAACAAUUCUAUUUAAUAAAUUACUUUAUUUAUACAAUAACUGAUGGUAAAAUUUAAAUUAAAUUAACAUAAUGCAAUAAUGUUUAAAAAAAUUGCCAAACAUUAGUUAGUUUCUACUAACAUAAAGUAAUUUAUUGUUUAAUAUUAGUGAUCUUCGAGGUGACCUUAUAAUAUAUUUUAACCAUGUACCUAAGUAAUACUUAUAUUCAAUUUCCAAUCAUACUUGUGUUAAAGGCAUUUUACAAACAUUUAAAUAUUCAUAAAUUGUUGUCAUAGUUUUAUAGUUUUUGUUAAAUUAUUAAUUAUGACAACUUUCAUACUUUGUAUACUGUAAAAUAGAAAAGUGAAAUUCUAUAAUUACUAUACAUAGAUAUAUAUGUAUUAGUUGUUUUACUCCGCGUCAUGAGAAAAUGCAAUCGCUGCAUUGCACUUUCAAAUGAUUUACUCGAGCAGUCGCGAAGCCAAUUUUCCUCUUCCAAGUGAUCACCAGUUACUGUAUACACUGCAAAUGCAAUAAAUACGCUGUUAUGCAUGAAGGCAGUCAAACGUAAUGUAAACAGAGUGAGAAUUAUAGUUGUAUUCUCUCAUGACACAAAGUAUAGUAAUUUUUAAUUUUGCUCAUUAUUUUUAAGCUAUUACAUCUUAAAUGUGGAAGCUAAAUAUUAAAUUACAAUAUUCAAAUCAUGAAUCCAAAAAUUUGUCAUAGUUUCAAUAAUUUUAUUUAAGUUUUUUUAAUACAAAUUUUAAACUAAAUAUUAAAUAACCUAUAUAGGUGUAUAAUAUAUACUACUAAAUAAUAGUGUCACCCAGGCUGCUCUCCUCAAACUCAUCACAAUGUAUAAUCUAUUUUCCUGAAUCGUAUUUACUUAUUUUGCCUUACUGUAGAGAUUGUAAAUUUUCUUAUAAAAAUAUAUAUAUAUAUAUUAAAUAAGAGUUAGUUUAUUUAAAAUUAUUCUGUAAUUUUUAAAAUUAUUAUUUUCAAUACAAGUUCUUUUAAAUAUGCAUUUGUUCAUAGUUUUUUAAGUUUGAGCUUAAUCAAUAAUUAAGACAACUCAAUUACAUCU